rnacentral:rRNA from 1 species
UACGUAGGGUGCGAGCGUUAAUCGGAAUUACUGGGCGUAAAGCGUGCGUAGGCGGUUCGCUGUGUCCGAUGUGAAAGCCCCGGGCUUAACCUGGGAAUGGCAUUGGAAACUGGCGGGCUUGAGUGUGGCAGAGGGGGGUGGAAUUCCGCGUGUAGCAGUGAAAUGCGCAGAUAUCGGGAAGAACACCCGUGGCGAAGGCGGCUCUCUGGGACGGUACUGACGCUGAGACGCGAAGGCGUGGGGAGCGAACAGG